CCCUUAGAUGUUCUGGGCUGCACGCGCGCUACACUGACACACUCAGCGAGUCUCCUGGUCCGAGAGGAUUGGGUAAUCAUGUGAGCGUGUGUCGUGAUGGGGAUAGAAUAUUGUAAUUAUUACUCUUCAACGAGGAAUUCCUAGUAAGCGCGAGUCAGCAGCUCGCGCUGAUUACGUCCCUGCCCUUUGUACACACCGCCCGUCGCUCCUACCAAUGGGUGAUCCGGUGAAUGACUCGGACUCUGGAAUUAGCUAUUUAUAGCUUUUAUCCGGAGGAAGUUUUGUGAACCUUAUCACUUGGAGGAAGGAGAAGUCGUAACA
rnacentral:rRNA from 1 species